GCACGUUUGUGAUCAAAAGGUUAAAGUAUUUAGAUAUUUUCUUAUCGAUACAUAUCGUUGGUGAUGUAAACAAGUCACUGAAUAAGUAUGUUUAUACAAUUUAUAAAAUGGUUAAAGCUGAUUGUUUAUGAUUUUUAUGAGAUGACAGUAUCCGAGUCUCAAAAGUUAAUUUCUCUGAUAUUUUAUCCACUGGAUAUAAUACGAUUCAACAAAAACCUGAAAAAAGGAAAAAUGGUGUUUCGGCCGUAAAUUAAUUAAACGUGAUUACUUGGGAAUAUAAACGAUUAAGGGGUUAGAUCACAUUGACGCGAUCAAAAAGUACUUGUACUUUAAAAUAAUAGCAGAAGAGAAAUAAACGUUUGAUCGAUAUAAGUUUUCAUGGUUUGUUUUACAAUGUUAUGAACUAUAAAAAGAGAGUGUUAGUUUUGUUUUAAAUGCUUCUUAUUUAGGUUUUAAAUGGCACCGCUUUGAAUUCCUUGUGCAGGAUUCCUCCCAAACUAGAUUACUUGGAACAAAAAUUCAAAAAAUGCUUAAAACUAGGAUAUCACUCUGGGUAUUGAUGAUCGAACAUUUCCAUUUUUGUGAAAAUUAUCAAAAUAGCAGCUGUUUGUGUUUGACCUGUUGAAUUUGUAUAAAAAAAUUGUGUCUUUUCUUUACAUUGUCCGAAAUUAUUGAAAAUUAGAAAAACAUGGAUCGUCAAUGCCUAAUAUAUAUUAUACUAAAGGUAACUGCAAAAUUUUAAGGUGAUCGUUUUUUUAAAAACACAGUUUUCAGAAAUAUACGUUUAAAGUUUCUAAACGUAAUUUUUCAUUAAUUUCCAUUUAACGCUAUGGCACACAGGUAAACGAAUCGGCCACAGGCUUCUUAUUUCUAAAAAUAAUUUGUUUUAAAGCAUACAUAACCUUUUGCAAUUUAUUUUUAAGACUGCAAACUACUAUUUCAGACAAAAAAAUUCGAUUUUUUUAAACUUUCAAAGUGGUCAGACCCCUUAAACGACGCAGAUUUUCUAACACUAUUUUUAUUGUCAUCAAUUUACAGGAAGUUGAAACUAAAAUUAAAUGUCAACUCAAACCGGAAAAUAGAUAUAGAAACUGUUUUCUUGGAAAUGGAUAAAAAAAGUCGGAAUUGUAAGGAAGUUUGUUUGCCUGCUCUACAAUAACUAGUAAAACACUUGACUAUGCAUAGUGAUAUUGCAAAGAUUUCAACAUUUUACGAAUGUUGAAUUCAUGACUUGACCAGUAUUUCGGACCACAAUGCCCACUAUGAUCGUACACGGACACACGCAAAGCCUGCGGCCGCCUUCCCAAGGAUUUUAUAAAAGCAAUUUAAAGCAUAUACUCUAUAUUUACGAAAUGUCACAUUGUACUCGGUACAUGCAAAAAUAUUUAGGAUUAUAUUGUAGCCUAGUCAAAAGGAGAUUACGUCUCACCACGGAUCAAAAGAUUACUAAGUUGUAUGCUGUUGUGCAGACAUCCACCCGUGAAAAACAAUUACUUUUAUUAUUGGCUAAGUUUCGUGCUGAAGAAGAGACGUGAGUGAUUAGGUAGAGCGAACGACUGAUCCCCCUUUCUCCUCGCGGCUAUUAGCUUGUGGGUCUUCUCGUUUACCAAUAGAAGUGGAUUUCGAGAGGUCAUAGAAAUGUGGGGACUACAGGCGUGCAGGUCAGACGGAGCGAGUGGAAUACCCCUUUGCCCCUCUGUCGAAACGACAGACUUCUGAGCAAGGGACAGUACAUUGUCAGCAUGUCAUAGCAUAUUAGGGGCCUUAAUUUUGUAUUGUGCCUCGGGCCCCAGGAUUCGAGGUUCUAGCAUUAGUAUGCGACAGUCAAAGUUGCAGCAGUAAAUGCUAGAGGAUACAAAAAAAUUAUAUUUCCAACGAGGAAUAGAACAUAACAUUGAUACUAGAAUCAGCAACGGAAUUAACAAUAAAUUGGCAUCGUGGAAAAUCAUAGAAACAGCAUACAAGAUACGCGAAGUAACGAACAUAAACAGCAAAAUAUUACACAAGCUAACGAAUCCAAGCAUAUUUUUUGAAACCAAAUUCCAGAAGUGAAAGUAGUAUAUGCUGCACAACUAUUUAUCAGAUCAUUAUUUGCAUACAUUGAGUCAUUGAUUAAUUUGGAAGUACAAUCGAUAACUGAGUUGAAGAAUGAAGCAAGCAGGACACUCUACACGAAGACUUUUGGAACUCUGGGAAGGAGAGAUUAUCACAUUUGCUAGGGCUGAGGAACUGGUGGCCCGCGGGCCACAUAGUCUCUACUCCCCUCGUGCAGGUUUCCCUCACCACACCUACGCCUGUCUCUAAAGAAUUGAAUAUUUACCAUAGAAUCAUUUCAAGCAUUGCAUAAAAUACUGUGAAUAAUAUAAAAUCUUUCGAACCUUUGCGAAUAAUAUAAAAACUUUCAAACCGCGCAAUAUAACAUUUAAGACUUUGUUAAUUAAUAAUUUAACGUCUCCCAGAACGGCAAGAGGAAAUUGUGAAAACGUUGACAAUGAUCCUCUUUUCUUUAAUUCACACAAUUUCCACGAGCAAAAUCUUAUAUCUACAAUAAAACAAGAAUGAGAUAUA